AAGAGUGUACCAAUUAUUGACGCAACUAGCUUGCCAUUCCUGACUCUAUUUCUUUUAAAGAUCAUAGUUUUGACUGAAUUCGACACUUCAGCAUCAUGCUUUCACUAACUGGAAAAUCAAUGUGAGAUCGAUAAAGAAUGGAUAAUAUC